rnacentral:rRNA from 1 species
CCUACGGGUGGCAGCAGUGGGGAAUAUUGCACAAUGGGGGUAACCCUGAUCCAGCGACGCCGCGUGAGUGAAGAAGUAUCUCGGUAUGUAAAGCCCCAUCAGCAGGGAAGAAAAAAGACGGUACCUGACUAAGAAGCCCCGGCGAACUACGUGCCAGCAGCCGCGGUAAUACGUAGGGGGCAAGCGUUAUCCGGAUUUACUGGGUGUAAAGGGAGCGUAGACGGUGAAGCAAGUCUGAGGUGAAAGCCCGUGGCUUAACCACGGGACGGCUUUGGAAACUGUUUGACUAGAGUGCUGGGGAGGUAAGUGGAAGUCCGGGUGUAGCGGUGAAAUGCGUAGAUAUGAGGAGGAACACCAGUGGCGAGGGCGGCUUACUGGACAGUAACGGACGUUGGGGCUCGAAAGCGUGGGGAGCAAACAGGAUUAGAACCCGAGUAGUC